UACGUAGGGUGCAAGCGUUGUCCGGAAUUAUUGGGCGUAAAGAGCUCGUAGGCGGUUUGUCGCGUCUGCUGUGAAAUCCGGAGGCUCAACCUCCGGCCUGCAGUGGGUACGGGCAGACUAGAGUGCGGUAGGGGAGAUUGGAAUUCCUGGUGUAGCGGUGGAAUGCGCAGAUAUCAGGAGGAACACCGAUGGCGAAGGCAGAUCUCUGGGCCGUAACUGACGCUGAGGAGCGAAAGCAUGGGGAGCGAACAGG
rnacentral:rRNA from 1 species